rnacentral:rRNA from 1 species
AAUACGUAGGUGGCAAGCGUUGUCCGGAAUUACUGGGUGUAAAGGGCGUGUAGGCGGGAAGGUAAGUCAGAUGUGAAAUUCCGGGGCUCAACCCCGGCGCUGCAUCUGAAACUAUCUUUCUUGAGUGCUGGAGAGGAAAGCGGAAUUCCUAGUGUAGCGGUGAAAUGCGUAGAUAUUAGGAGGAACACCAGUGGCGAAGGCGGCUUUCUGGACAGUAACUGACGCUGAGGCGCGAAGGCGUGGGGAGCGAACUGGA